UGUUUUGACAAAAUACCCUGAAUGCACCAGAUUCCAUCAUAUGAGGGAAGCUAAACAGGAACAGGCCUGGUUAGUACCUAUAUGGGAGACUGGUAGGGAAUUUCAGAGGGAGGCGAAUCAC
rnacentral:rRNA from 11 species